GCCGGGCACGGUGGUGGGUGCCUGUAAUCCCAGCUACUCAGGAGGUUGAGGUAGAGGAAUCGCUUGAACCCAGGAAGCAGAGGUUGCAGUGAGCCAAGGCACGCCACUGCACUCCAGCCUGGGUGACAGAGCGAGACUUAGUCUCAA
rnacentral:SRP_RNA from 1 species